GACGAACGCUGGCGGCGUGCUUAACACAUGCAAGUCGAACGGAAAGGUCCUGCUUUUGUGGGGUGCUCGAGUGGCGAACGGGUGAGUAACACGUGAGUAACCUGCCCUUGACUUUGGGAUAACUUCAGGAAACUGGGGCUAAUACCGGAUAUGAUCUCCUGCUGCAUGGUGGUGGUUGGAAAGUGUCGGCGGUUGUGGAUGGACUCGCGGCUUAUCAGCUUGUUGGUGGGGUAGUGGCUUACCAAGGCUUUGACGGGUAGCCGGCCUGAGAGGGUGACCGGCCACAAUGGGACUGAGAGACGGACCAGACGCCUACGGGAGGCAGCAGUGGGGAAUAUUGCACAAUGGGCGGAAGCCUGAUGCAGCAACGCCGCGUGCGGGAUGACGGCCUUCGGGUUGUAAACCGCUUUCGACUGUGACGAAGCGUGAGUGACGGUAAUGGGUAAAGAAGCACCGGCUAACUACGUG
rnacentral:rRNA from 1 species